UACGAAGGGGGCUAGCGUUGUUCGGAUUUACUGGGCGUAAAGCGCACGUAGGCGGAUCGUUAAGUCGGGGGUGAAAUCCUGGAGCUCAACUCCAGAACUGCCUUCGAUACUGGCGAUCUUGAGUCCGGAAGAGGUGAGUGGAACUCCUAGUGUAGAGGUGGAAUUCGUAGAUAUUAGGAGGAACACCGGUGGCGAAGGCGGGUCUCUGGGCCGUAACUGACGCUGAGGAGCGAAAGUGUGGGGAGCAAACAGG
rnacentral:rRNA from 1 species